rnacentral:misc_RNA from 1 species
GAUGAAGAACGUAGCGAAAUGCGAUAAGUAAUGUGAAUUGCAGAAUUUAGUGAAUCAUCGAAUCUUUGAACGCAUAUUGCGACCGCCAGCACUCUGGCGGGCAUGCCUGUUCGAGCGUCAUUUCAACCCUCAGGCCUCGCGUCUGGCGUUGGGGCGCUGCGGCCCUCCCGCAGGCCCCCAAAUUUAGCGGCGGAUUCCCCGCGGCCCUGAGCGCAGUAGAGAGUAAAAACUUUAACGCUCCGGCGGCCGUGGCGCGGUUCUGCCUCUUUCCCAAUAGCGCCAAUAGCGCCACCCCCAAAAAAGUUGACCUCGGAUCAGGUAGGACUACCCGCUGAACUUAAGCAUAUCAAUAAGCGGAGGA